AAUGACGAUUUAAAAUAUUCGUAUAACGCGAAUGAUUAGACAAUUGCAGUGCGAUCUAUCGGCGUAUUAUUCAACUCUUUUGGGUGCUUGCGGAAUAACAACCCUGGCUGCGCUACUGUAUUGGUUUUUACUUUAAUUUUCAGAUUUCUGAUUUUCUUAUCUGGCAAUCCCAAAUCAUAGAAAGUUACUAAGUUCACAUUUUCACAAUCACAACACUAUAUUUUGCUAUGUACUGGGCUAAAGUCAAAUCAUAAGCGUACUCGCAAUGGCAGUAGGAUGUGCUGGGCCACAAUAAAAUACUCGAUAAAAACUCGAUUAGUUAUCGACAAAGCGCAUUCAAUUACCAAGCUCAUUUUUGCUGUUUUUAAAUAAAUCUUUUUUUAGUACAGACUACAGUAUAAUAUUACCAUUAUUAUUAUUAACAUCCACAUAAGAGAUUGAUUAUGACGUGGCCAUAGAUUAGAAUACCUUAAAUAAUAUUAGAAUUUAGAAUAACCUGGACGUGACGUAUAUCCAUUUAUAUAAUUGAUCAAAAACUAAAAAUAACUAUAGGAUUUUCCGUAUCCCGUCAUAACGAUGCAUUACGUAGAACACUGAUGGUAAUUGGUAAUAUUAAUUUCAUUACCGCCGAACCUCAAUCACACUAAUCACAGUAAAUACUAAAUAGUAAAUACUUUAAAAUCGAUUGACGAUUUUUAAAUUUGUCACGUGGCUUUUGAUGUUUUUGCAAACUAGGUAGUCAGUAGUGCAGUAGGUAGUCGCUAUUCACUAUUUCACUAGUCAGUCUCUAGUUGCGUUCGUUAGUCGCGUAUACUAUUAUUUAACGAUAUUCUGUUGUUUAAAUGUUAACGCUUAAGUAAUUUAUUUUUAUUUUUAAUUGUAUUGAAAUGUAUAAGAUAAUAUGUAUUCAAAUGAAAAAUCGAUUUCGGAAGUCCAGAACUAACUUUGUUUAUGGGAUAUGAGUUCUAGACACAAUGGUGAUGAUGAUUUAAAAAAUGCAUGUUGAAUAAUGGCAGCGGAGGUAUUAUGUUCUAAAAAUUGGAAUAAUUUUCAAAUAAAAGAAAAAGAUUAGAAGCAUAGAAGUUCAUUCAAACAUUACCAGACUAAUCACAAAAUUGCAAAAUGUUGGUAUUUUGCCAACAAGACAUAAAUAUCUACGUGGACAUAAAGAAACUAGUGAAAGAUCAAUCUAUAAUAGACAAUUAAAAGUGGAUUUGUUGAGAAAAAGUUGGUGGUAAAAAGGAAAAAACUAAAAAGACAUGCAAUUACAGGUUUGUUAAUUUGUGGUCAACGAACUGCAAAUUUCCAGCUAUCAAACUACAAUCAAGGACCAAAAGAAAAAACUUACUGGUCGUCCAUUGUCAAGAAGUGACAUAUGACAGAUGGUUAUCAAUAAAAACAUUUGGGUGGAUAUGGGCACAUCGUUGAAAUUGAUGAAUCCAAAUUUGGACGUCGGAAGAAUCACAGUGGUUAUAGAGUUGAAGGGCAAUGGGCGUUUGGAGGCUAUAGUCUUGGUUGAGAACCAUAAUGCCACAACCUUUCUAGCCGUCAUUAAUGAAUGGAUAAAACCCGGGACAACAAUAAUCUCAGAUUGUUGGAAAGCUUACAAUACCUACCUUAAAUGAUGAAGGCUAUACUCAGAUGAUUGUGAACCAUAGCCUCCACUUAAAAGAUCCAGUGCAGGUGUGUAUUCAAACACCAUAGAAAGUGCAUGGAAAUUGGAGACAUUCCAAACAAUCAAUAUAUGGUUUACACAUCACCUUACGAUGUCUUCAGGACCACCGGUAGUCUGCGGACGAUAGGUUGAGAACCUCAACAUUAACAUCCUGAUGACUGUAAUAAUAUAUACUUAAACAUCAAUAUUUUUAAAUUUUUAAAAAGAUGUAAAACUCAAAGACAUAAUCCAAACAAUAUCAAAAAAUGAGUGCUGAAUUAAAGCUGUAUACAAUUGCCAAUUAUACAAUAAUAUUAUGUAGCCGUGUUUAAUACUAAGUUAUAACAUUUCAUUAUAUAUUAUGAGUAUAUGACAAAUGGAAUUUACAUCGUUUUUUAAAACAGCAUAAUUACAUUUUCCUUUUUUGACCAAAAGAACAUUUAGAACAUAAACCACUAUUUUGGGAUAAUUCACUAGCUGUUUAUAAGUGUUGUGUUUUUGUUGUUUAAGUCCACACAGCUGCUUACUCGACAUCUUCCUCUCUCGGCCUAACAAACGCAAACGCAACCAACCACCCGACUUAACUACAGUAUAAUAAUAUGACACUCGACUACAGUCUACAAAAUACCUAUAAUAUGUAUAUACAUCAUAUACAUUGUAUAGUUUGUGCGCAAACGUUGCAGGGAGCAAAAUGACCGGAAUGGGCGUAAUUCGAUUUGGGCGGAAAAAGUCCGAAUAACUGUAUAUAUGCGGUACGUCAAAGGGUAUAAGUAUAUACGAAUCUCUAGGGACGAAAAAGGGUUACGAAGACCGUGAUACAAUAAUAAUAAUAAUAUAGACAGCACCAGUCCUACGCAUAUUAUAAAAAGUGUUUGAAAUUAUCCGACAUCGGCUCUUGUCGACUAUGUAUAAGUAAACACUAAAGACUUGUAUGAUGCGCAUAAGAAGUAUAGUUUUGUUUCAAUAUGAAAACAACUCUUAAUAACUCUUGUUGACUUGUAGUAGGAUCACGUAUUUUUUUGUCUAUUCGUUGGACCUUCUCACGCUCAAAAUAUUUUAAUGGAUUGUGGAUUACGAUAAUUUAUUUACCUAUCUGUUUAUUAACUAAUAGGUAUCGACUAUUAUAUAUACAAAAUGUAAAAAGUACAUGUUUCGUAUAACGACGAGGACGUACUCAAGAUUAUAUGUGGCUAGAAUGAGGUACUUACUACUUAAUCAAAUUAAGUAAUUAAUUAAUUUUAUUUUUCUCGCCAUGCUAGACGACAUCUAAAACGUUUAUGAAAGCCAAUAAUAAAAAUAAUAAAAUGAAAAAAAUAACGAACGGAAAAUAAAAUAACUAAUUUUUAUAUAUUUAUAUUCUAUAUAACUUUUAUAAUGACGUUUUUAAAGAUUAUGAAAAUAAAAUAAUAACUAAUUAAUAAAUAACUGUGAAUUUAUAUUUUAUAUUUUUUGUUACCGGAAAUUUUUUAACAGGAUAUUUUUGGUACAAAUUAUUUUUGAACCGGAUAUAAUUUAAGAGAAAGCCUAAGUGUUAAGGUUAACACUAGAGAACAUUUGACUUGAGGAUUUUGGCGAGGAAAUAGAAUCCUAAAAAAGCAAAUCAUGGACUUGUUUUAAUGUGGCAAAGCCUAGCUGAGAAUUUUGUACAGCCUAUAGCAGUGUUUGCCUCACAUGGUCCUGUGAAAGGAAUUAAUCUUGCCACAUAAAUUAUUAAAUCCAUAAUUGUAAUUGAAAAGACUGUAUGUCCAAUAGUUGGUAUUACGAGCGAUGGAAUAACAACCAAUGGUAAUGUAUGGUCUAUUCUAGAGGUAAUUUUUUAAUACAUUUCUAUAUUUUAAACUUGAUUCUAUAUGACUAUAUAUGGAUACUAUUUAGUAUGAAUUAAUUCAUUUGAACAGGUAUAAGGGAAAUAAGACAACUAAUGCAAUUUUUUUGAAAAUCCUUUUGAUACAAUAACAAGAAAAGUCUAUGUUUUUUCUGAUGUGUCCCAUUUGAUGAAAAUAACUCAAAAUAAAUUAUUCACAAAUAAAGAAUUAAGAGCAGGCGCUGAUCCAUCAAUAUAUUUGUGGUUGGAUCAAUUUAAACCAGAGGAGUAUUAUAGAAAUUUAUUUAAAAUAGAAAAUAAUAAUAUUAUAAAAGUAUGCCGCCCAAAACUGACUAAAAUGAAUUGAACAAUUUUUCAAAGAUGAAGGUUAAAUUUGCAGUUCAGGUCUUUAGCAAAUCGAUGGCAGUAGGUAAUGAAUUAUAUAGGAAUAAAAACUAUGACUGUUUUAAGGGAUGAGAAGGGACUGUAGCAUUAACAAAAACAACAAAUGAUAAGUUUAAUGCAUUAAAUAGAGACAUACGGCUGAAGAAAUUAAAAGAAAUAGUCAUGAUUCGAAGGUAUUUAAUAAUGUUAUACACUGGUUGAAUGAAUGGAAAUUUGGAAAAAGGACUAAUUAAAGAAAGAGAAUUCCUAACGAAACCAUUUAGUGAGGGACUACAGAUCACUUUAACUUCAACAAUACAGUUGGUAGAAUACCUUUUAAAUGAAUGUGGUUUUAGUUAGGUAUGUCUUAACUGAAAAAUGUAAUCAAGACUCACUAGAAGUAAUUAAAUUAUCUUUAUUAGAAAUUUUUUGGAAUCAUUAGACAAGUCUCAGGUCCUAAUGACCAUCCCACAGCACCAACUUUUCUAAAGCUAUAUUGUAUGCUUUCAGUCUAUUCUGUUAUAAAACUCCCUAAAACAGGAAAUCAUACAAUAUUUGAAGGUGAAAAAUGAAAUUUUUAAGUUAUAAACAAAAAUAAUAUAUUUCAUAUUAUAAUCAAUACUACUGAAUAAAUCUUUUUUCUUUUAUA